CAUCUUAUUUUCUUCGGGAGAUAAGAUCAAAGGUGGCCUCUCCUUGGAAGCUUCUGUUUGGGGAUGAGCCCGCGUACCAUUAGCUAGUUGGUAGGGUAAAGGCCUACCAAGGCGACGAUGGUUAGCUGGUCUGAGAGGAUGAUCAGCCACACUGGAACUGACACACGGUCCAGACUCCUACGGGAGGCAGCAGUGAGGAAUUUUGCGCAAUGGGGGAAACCCUGACGCAGCAACGCCGCGUGAGUGAUGAAGGCUUUCGGGUCGUAAAACUCUGUCAGGUGGGAAGAAACCACAUGGUGUUAAUAGCGCCAUGUGCUGACUGUACCACCAAAGGAAGCACCGGCUAACUCCGUGCCAGCAGCCGCGGUAAUACGGAGGGUGUAAGCGUUAUUCGGAAUUAUUGGGCGUAAAGAGCGCGUAGGCGGCCUUUCAAGUCAGAUGUGAAAGCCCGGGGCUUAACCCCGGAAGUGCAUUUGAUACUGUAGGGCUUGAGUAUGGGAGAGGGAAGUGGAAUUCCUGGUGUAGCGGUGAAAUGCGUAGAUAUCAGGAGGAACACCGGUGGCGAAGGCGACUUCCUGGACCAAUACUGACGCUGAGGCGCGAAGGCGUGGGGAGCAAACAGGAUUAGAUACCCUGGUAGUCCACGCAGUAAACGGUGAUCACUAGGUGUAGCGGGUAUUGACCCCUGCUGUGCCGGAGCUAACGCAUUAAGUGAUCCGCCUGGGGAGUACGGUCGCAAGAUUAAAACUCAAAUUGACGGGGGCCCGCACAAGCGGUGGAGCAUGUGGUUUAAUUCGACGCAACGCGAAGAACCUUACCUGGAUUUGACAUCUCGGGAAUCAUUUGGAAACUUAUGAGUGCCCUUCGGGGAGCCCGAUGACAGGUGCUGCAUGGCUGUCGUCAGCUCGUGUCGUGAGAUGUUGGGUUAAGUCCCGCAACGAGCGCAACCCCUAUCUUUAGUUACCAUCAUUCAGUUGGGGACUCUAGAGAUACUGCCCCGGUCAACGGGGAGGAAGGUGGGGAUGAUGUCAAGUCCUCAUGGCCUUUAUGUCCAGGGCUACACACGUGCUACAAUGGGCGGUACAAAGGGUAGCGAACUCGCGAGAGCAAGCCAAUCCCAAAAAGCCGUCCUUAGUUCGGAUUGGAGUCUGCAACUCGACUCCAUGAAGCUGGAAUCGCUAGUAAUCGUGGAUCAGCAUGCCACGGUGAAUACGUUCCCGGGCCUUGUACACACCGCCCGUCACACCAUGAGUUGGUUGUACCAGAAGUUGUUGGGCUAACCCUUCGGGGGAGCAGGCACCUAAGGUAUGGCUGAUAAUUGGGGUGAAGUCGCAACAAGGUA
rnacentral:rRNA from 1 species